rfam:Corchorus capsularis cultivar CVL-1 contig15168, whole genome shotgun sequence.
GGGGAGCAUCAAAGAGAUGAGAUGUUGCCUGAUACAAUCUUCCUACAUAAAACUCUGUAGUUUCCUGCUUGUAGUACCUGAGCAAGUUUCUACAAGUCUCAUAUCUCCAGAGACAUGA